ensembl:lncRNA
AUGACGUGGAUUGACUACAAAAAGGCCUUUGACUCACUCCCACACAGCUGGAUCAUCAAGUGCCUGGACGCCAUCGGGAUUAGUAAAAACGUUGGCACCUUCAUUGAAAACAUGAUGGAGCACUGGAAAACUGAACUGUUUGUUGGAAAUGAAAGUUAUGGACUUGUCAACAUCAGGAGAGGAAUUUUCCAGGGAGAUUCAUUGUCCCCUCUGCUUUUCAUUAUUGCCACGAUCCCUCUGUCAACAAUCUUACAAAAAACAAAUCUCGGCUACCAAACAUCUAAGAAUUCUCACAAAAUUUCACAUUUGAUGUACAUGGAUGACCUGAAGCUAUAUGGGAAAACGGAAACUGAAAUCCAAUCUCUGACCAACACUGUCCGAAUUUUUAGCACUGAUAUCAACAUGGAGUUUGGUUUGGACAAAUGUUCGACAGUGGCAUUGAAGAAGGGAAAAAUAACUGAAAGUGAGGGCAUAAAUAUGCCCAAUGGCCAAACAAUAAAGUGUCACCAGCCAGAGGCCUAUAAAUAUCUGGGCAUACUACAGCUGGACAACAUCAAGCAUGAACAUGUGAAAACUGUGGUCAGUAAAGAAUACACACAAAGGGUCAGAAAAAUUCUCAAAAGCAAGCUCAAUGGAGGCAACACCAUCAAGGCCAUAAACACCUGGGCCAUACCUGUCAUAAGAUAUACUGCUGGCAUCAUAAACUGGACACAGGCGGAACUGGACAAUUUGGAGAGAAAAACAAGAAAACUCAUGACCAUUCAUCAUUCACUGCACCCUCGCAGUGAUGUUGACCGGCUGUAUCUGCCUAGAAGAUCAGGGGGCAGAGGACUCUUGCAAGUAAAACAAGCAGUCAAAGAAGAAGAACAUGCCCUGGCAGAAUAUGGAAAGCAAAGUGAAAAACCUGCUUUGAUUGAAGUCAAAAAUCAGAAACUCCUCAAAGCACAGCAGACAAAAAACCAGUACAAGAAAGCCGCACUACAAACUAGAGCUGACAGCUGGCACAACAAAACAUUGCAUGGAAAGUUCCUUGACAAAAUUGAAGGAAAAGCUGAUAAAGAGAAGACCUGGCUCUGGCUCACGAAUGGGACCCUGAAGAAGGAGACAGAAGGCCUGAUCCUUGCAGCCCAGGAGCAAGACAUCAGGACAAAGGCAAUCAAGGCCAAGAUCGAAAAAUCAGCUGAUGACCCAAAAUGCAGACUGUGCAAGGAAACCAAUGAAACCAUAGAUCAUAUCCUCAGCUGCUGUAAGAAAAUUGCACAGACAGACUACAAACAGAGGCACAACUAUGUGGCCCAAAUGAUUCAUUGGAACCUAUGCCUCAAGUAUCACCUCCCUGCAGUUAAGAACUGGUGGGAUCACAAACCUGCAAAAGUAUUGGAAAAUGAGCACGCAAAGAUACUGUGGGACUUCCGAAUCCAGACUGACAAAGUUCUGGAACACAACACACCAGACAUCACAGUUGUGGAAAAGAACAAGGUUUGGAUCAUUGAUGUCGCCAUCCCAGGUGACAGUCGCAUUGAAGAAAAACAACAGGAAAAACUCAGCCGCUAUCAGGACCUCAAGAUUGAACUUCAAAGACUCUGGCAGAAACCAGUGCAAGUGGUCCCAGUGGUGAUGGGCACACUGGGUGCCGUGCCAAAAGAUCUCAGCCGGCAUUUGGAAACAAUAGACAUUGACAAAAUCACCAUCUGCCAACUGCAAAAGGCCACCCUACUGGGAUCUGCACACAUCAUCCGAAAAUACAUCACACAGUCCUAG